AUUCCAGCUCCAAUAGCGUAUAUUAAAGUUGUUGCAGUUAAAAAGCUCGUAGUUGGAUUUCUGGGAGGGUGCCAAUGUCCGUCAACGUGCGUGUGCAGCGGCGCCCUUCCAUCCUUCUGUUAACGCCUCUGGGCAUUUAUUUGCUGGUGGCGGGCUCAGAUAUUUUACCUUGAGAAAAUUAGAGUGUUUCAGGCAGGCUAGGCCGGAAUACAUUAGCAUGGAAUAAUAGAAUAGGACUAUGGUCUCUUUGUUGGUUUGAGGGACUAUGGUAAUGAUUAAUAGGGAUAGUUGGGGGCAUUAGUAUUUAAUUGUCAGAGGUGGAAUUCUCAGAUUUGUUAAAGACUAACUUAUGCGAAAGCAUUUGCCAAGGAUGUUUUCAUUA
rnacentral:rRNA from 1 species